rnacentral:SRP_RNA from 1 species
GCUGGGUGUGGUGGCUCACACCUGUGAUCCCAGCACUUUGGGAGGCCGAGGUGGGAGGAUCGCUUGAGCCCAGGAGUUUGAGGCUGCAGUGAGCCGUGAUUGCGCCACUGCACUCCAGCCUGGGUGACAGAGUGAGACUCUGUCUCUA